GUUUUGAUCCUAAACUUAAUACUAUUUUUAAUCAAAAUUAUACAUGCAAGCAUCAACACACCAGUGAAAAUGCCCAAUCACAUAAACAUAGGAGCAGACAUCAGGCACACACAACCAUAGCCAACAACGUCUUGUUUUACCACACCUACACAGGUCCUCAGCAGUAAUUAAAAUUAGGCCAUAAGUGAAAACUCGACCUAGUUAAGAUUAACAAGAGCCGGUAAAUUUUGUGCCAGCAACCGCGGUUAUACAAAAGGCCCAAAAUAAUGACCAACGGCGUAAAGCGUGACCAGACAUCACCCACCCCACUAAAGGAUCACAACCAACUAAGCAGUAAAAUGCCAAAGCAAUAAGAACAUCACCACCUUUAACCAACGGGACCACCAACUCACGAAAACUAAGAAACAAACUAGGAUUAGAUACCCUACUAUGCUCAGUCGUAACCACAGAUCUAAAACCAACACAUGAUCCGCCAGAGAACUACGAGUGAAAAACCUAAAACCCAAAGGAUUUGGCGGUGCUCUUACCCAACCUAGAGGAGCCUGUCUUAUAAUCGAUACCCCACGAUCAACCUCACCACUCUUUGCACACCAACUUAUAUACCGCCGUCGCCAGCCUAUCUUAUGAAAGAACAAAAAUAGGCAAAACAGUACCACCACUAAAACGUCAGGUCAAGGCGUAGUUUAUAGAGCGGCAAAGAUGGGCUACACUCUCUACCACAGAAAAAACGAACAACAAAAUGAAACAAAUGUCACAAAGGCGGAUUUAGAAGUAAAACUAGACAGAACACUAACUUAAACUAGCCAUAGAGCACGCACACACCGCCCGUCACCCUCCUCAACUAAAUUAAACCUAAUCAUAUUCCACUAACAAAAUCAAGAUGAGGUAAGUCGUAACAUGGUAAGCGUACUGGAAAGUGCGUUUGGAACCAU
rnacentral:ncRNA from 1 species